UUUGGUUAAGUUAGAAAGGGCGCACGGUGGAUGCCUUGACACUAGGAGUCGAUGAAGGACGGGACUAACGCCGAUAUGCUUCGGGGAGCUGUAAGUAAGCUUUGAUCCGAAGAUUUCCGAAUGGGGAAACCCACUAUACGUAAUGGUAUGGUAUCCUUACCUGAAUACAUAGGGUAUGGAAGACAGACCCAGGGAACUGAAACAUCUAAGUACCUGGAGGAAGAGAAAGCAAAUGCGAUUUCCUGAGUAGCGGCGAGCGAAACGGAACAUAGCCCAAACCAAGAGGCUUGCCUCUUGGGGUUGUAGGACAUUCUAUACGGAGUUACAAAGGAACGAGGUAGACGAAGCGACCUGGAAAGGUCCGUCGUAGAGGGUAACAACCCCGUAGUCGAAACUUCGUUCUCUCUUGAAUGUAUCCUGAGUACGGCGGAACACGUGAAAUUCCGUCGGAAUCUGGGAGGACCAUCUCCCAAGGCUAAAUACUCCCUAGUGAUCGAUAGUGAACCAGUACCGUGAGGGAAAGGUGAAAAGCACCCCGGAAGGGGAGUGAAAGAGAUCCUGAAACCGUGUGCCUACAAAUAGUCAGAGCCCGUUAAUGGGUGAUGGCGUGCCUUUUGUAGAAUGAACCGGCGAGUUACGAUCCCGUGCAAGGUUAAGCUGAAGAGGCGGAGCCGCAGCGAAAGCGAGUCUGAAUAGGGCGUUUAGUACGUGGUCGUAGACCCGAAACCAGGUGAUCUACCCAUGUCCAGGGUGAAGUUCAGGUAACACUGAAUGGAGGCCCGAACCCACGCACGUUGAAAAGUGCGGGGAUGAGGUGUGGGUAGCGGAGAAAUUCCAAUCGAACCUGGAGAUAGCUGGUUCUCCCCGAAAUAGCUUUAGGGCUAGCCUUAAGUGUAAGAGUCUUGGAGGUAGAGCACUGAUUGAACUAGGGGUCCUCAUCGGAUUACCGAAUUCAGUCAAACUCCGAAUGCCAAUGACUUAUCCUUAGGAGUCAGACUGCGAGUGAUAAGAUCCGUAGUCAAGAGGGAAACAGCCCAGAUCGCCAGCUAAGGUCCCAAAGUGUGUAUUAAGUGGAAAAGGAUGUGGAGUUGCUUAGACAACUAGGAUGUUGGCUUAGAAGCAGCCACCAUUUAAAGAGUGCGUAAUAGCUCACUAGUCGAGUGACUCUGCGCCGAAAAUGUACCGGGGCUAAAUACACCACCGAAGCUGCGAAUUGAUACCAAUGGUAUCAGUGGUAGGGGAGCGUUCUAAGUGCAGUGAAGUCAGACCGGAAGGACUGGUGGAGCGCUUAGAAGUGAGAAUGCCGGUAUGAGUAGCGAAAGACGGGUGAGAAUCCCGUCCACCGAAUGCCUAAGGUUUCCUGAGGAAGGCUCGUCCGCUCAGGGUUAGUCAGGACCUAAGCCGAGGCCGACAGGCGUAGGCGAUGGACAACAGGUUGAUAUUCCUGUACCACCUCUUUAUCGUUUGAGCAAUGGAGGGACGCAGAAGGAUAGAAGAAGCGUGCGAUUGGUUGUGCACGUCCAAGCAGUUAGGCUGAUAAGUAGGCAAAUCCGCUUAUCGUGAAGGCUGAGCUGUGAUGGGGAAGCUCCUUAUGGAGCGAAGUCUUUGAUUCCCCGCUGCCAAGAAAAGCUUCUAGCGAGAUAAAAGGUGCCUGUACCGCAAACCGACACAGGUAGGCGAGGAGAGAAUCCUAAGGUGUGCGAGAGAACUCUGGUUAAGGAACUCGGCAAAAUGACCCCGUAACUUCGGGAGAAGGGGUGCUUUCUUAACGGAAAGCCGCAGUGAAUAGGCCCAAGCGACUGUUUAGCAAAAACACAGCUCUCUGCGAAGCCGUAAGGCGAAGUAUAGGGGGUGACACCUGCCCGGUGCUGGAAGGUUAAGGAGAGGGGUUAGCGUAAGCGAAGCUCUGAACUGAAGCCCCAGUAAACGGCGGCCGUAACUAUAACGGUCCUAAGGUAGCGAAAUUCCUUGUCGGGUAAGUUCCGACCCGCACGAAAGGUGUAACGAUUUGGGCACUGUCUCAACCAGAGACUCGGUGAAAUUAUAGUACCUGUGAAGAUGCAGGUUACCCGCGACAGGACGGAAAGACCCCGUGGAGCUUUACUGUAGCCUGAUAUUGAAUUUUGGUACAGUUUGUACAGGAUAGGCGGGAGCCAUUGAAACCGGAGCGCUAGCUUCGG
rnacentral:rRNA from 5 species